rnacentral:misc_RNA from 1 species
GUCCUCGAAAGAGGAUCUAUGUAUUUCAUCAUCACACCUAUCGUAUGUCUAGAAUGUCAUCGUCGACCACUGGGCGGCGAAAUAAAUAAUACAACUUUCAGCAACGGAUCUCUUGGCUCUCGCAUCGAUGAAGAACGCAGCGAAUUGCGAUAAGUAAUGUGAAUUGCAGAUUUUCAGUGAAUCAUCGAAUCUUUGAACGCACCUUGCGCUCCUUGGUAUUCCGAGGAGCAUGCCUGUUUGAGUGUCAUUAAAUUCUCAACCAUGACUUUGUUGACAUGGCUUGGAGUUGGGGGUUGCUGGCUUGUUUGUCAGCUCUCCUGAAAUACAUUAGCGGUGGACAAGCAAGGCCUUCCGACGUGAUAAUGAUCGUCGUGGGGCGGAGCAUCAACGUCUGUCUGCUUCUAAAUCCCAGAUGCCUUAGCUAGACAUCAUUUCGAACGCUUGACCUCAAAUCAGGUAGGACUACCCGCUGAACUUAAGCAUA